rnacentral:rRNA from 1 species
UACGUAGGGGGCAAGCGUUGUCCGGAUUUAUUGGGCGUAAAGAGCGUGUAGGCGGCCAAGCAGGUCAGCUGUGAAAACUCGAGGCUCAACCUCGAGACGUCGGUUGAAACCGCUUGGCUAGAGUCCGGAAGAGGAGAGUGGAAUUCCCGGUGUAGCGGUGAAAUGCGCAGAUAUCAGGAGGAACACCAAUGGCGAAGGCAGCUCGCUGGGACGGUACUGACGCUGAGAACGCGAAAGCGUGGGGGAGCAAACAGG